GACGAACGCUGGCGGCGUGCUUAACACAUGCAAGUCGAACGGUAAGGCCCUUCGGGGUACACGAGUGGCGAACGGGUGAGUAACACGUGGGUGAUCUGCCCUGCACUUCGGGAUAAGCCUGGGAAACUGGGUCUAAUACCGGAUAGGACCCUGGGAUGCAUGUCCUGGGGUGGAAAGCUUUUGCGGUGUGGGAUGGGCCCGCGGCCUAUCAGCUUGUUGGUGGGGUGAUGGCCUACCAAGGCGACGACGGGUAGCCGGCCUGAGAGGGUGACCGGCAGCGCGGGGACGGAGAGACGGCCCAGACUCGUACGGGAGGCAGCAGUGGGGAAUAUUGCACAAUGGGCGCAAGCCUGAUGCAGCGACGCCGCGUGAGGGAUGACGGCCUUCGGGUUGUAAACCUCUUUCAGCACCGACGAAGCGCAAGUGACGGUAGGUGCAGAAGAAGGACCGGCCAACUACGUGCCAGCCGCCGCCGUAA
rnacentral:rRNA from 1 species